rnacentral:misc_RNA from 1 species
GCAAACUUGGUCAUUUAGAGGAAGUAAAAGUCGUAACAAGGUUUCCGUAGGUGAACCUGCGGAAGGAUCAUUACCAAUCUUUUGCGAGCCUUGGCUUUUUGCCAUGGACACGCGAACCCAUGUAUUUGAAACCCAACUCAUACAAGAUAAAAAAAAUACUUUUGUAUCAUAUAUUAUGAUGUAAAAAUAAAGAUCACUUUCAACAACGGAUCUCUUGGCUCUCUAGAGGAAGUAAAAGUCGUAACAAGGUUUCCGUAGGUGAACCUGCGGAAGGAUCAUUACCAAUCUUUUGCGAGCCUUGGCUUUUUGCCAUGGACACGCGAACCCAUGUAUUUGAAACCCAACUCAUACAAGAUAAAAAAAAUACUUUUGUAUCAUAUAUUAUGAUGUAAAAAUAAAGAUCACUUUCAACAACGGAUCUCUUGGCUCUCGCAUCGAUGAAGAACGCAGC